UACAGAGGGUGCGAACGUUGCUCGGAAUUACUGGGCGUAAAGCGCGUGUAGGCGGGUCGGCAAGUCAGGCGUGAAAUCCCCAGGCUCAACCUGGGAACUGCGCUUGAAACUGCCGGUCUUGAGUAUCGGAGAGGGUGGCGGAAUUCCUGGUGUAGAGGUGAAAUUCGUAGAUAUCAGGAGGAACACCGGUGGCGAAGGCGGCCACCUGGACGAUAACUGACGCUGAGACGCGAAAGCGUGGGGAGCAAACAGG
rnacentral:rRNA from 1 species